CUAAAUCUAAUUCAUCUGGUUGUUUUCCAUACCUCUGCUCUGUAAGCUGUUCUGCUUGGGCAGAUUGCUGCAAGAUAUAAAUAUGAGAUUCAUUGUUCAGAAGACCUCUGUAGAGCACUGCUGGCAUGUGACACUGGUUGGACAUCAUCAUCAUUCUUGCUAUUUAUGUAUUCCUGAUGAACGGGAUUUCAAUGGAGACUGCUUGCUGAGUCCCUCCCCAGAAUGGCUGCAUAACCCAGCUGUUGCAUGCACAAAAGAGGAAAACCAAUCCUAUUCCAUAAGAGGGUGAGGUGUGAUUACAGAAGGUAAACAACAGACACUUUCAUCCCCAGAGCUACAGAGAAGAUGGUAUCUGCAGUUCAUUUCAGAAUACCCACCUCAUCUGGGACCCGGAGCGGGUGAUGACUGUUAAAUAGUGUUUAUGAGACACCUAUCUGUUACGGUGAAAACAUGACGGAAAUGCCUUCAAGAAACCUGGCAGUUUGGAUUGAGUGAAGGACCGGGACAAUAUAUGCAGAAUAUAAUGCAGAAGCCACAAGCUAACUGUUGAAGAUGAAAACAAAAAAGUCAACUUUUGCUUUAAUUGAAUGCUGUCAGUACUGAGCACUGAAUGGAGCAGAUGUCCCUAAACAAGAAAGAUAAAAGAAUAUCUGAUCCUUUACUAAAAGGAUAUAAUCAUACGAAUGUACUAAGCAGCUAAUUAAACCUAUCUGGACUAUCAAAAUAAUUUCAUCAGACUUCCUGUAAAAUUCAGGCCAUAGAACCUCAAUUUCUACUUUCGCCCCCUAGCUUCUGUUUGAGCUGCAAUAUACGUGACUGCUGUGAUCAUAUUCUUUUAAUGCUGAUUUUAAAUGUAUUACAUAUAUUUUGCCUUGCGCUUUUGAUUUAACGUUGCUGGGUAGUCAGUGCUGGCUUACAAACGAACGUGCACAUAGGCUUUGUAUGCAAAGUUAUAUUUUAAA